rnacentral:lncRNA from 1 species
CCCAAUAGCAAUAUAUGUGUUCAAACGUGUGUGUCCAAAGUCUGUUCUCGGGUCGUUAUUGAAAACGUUUAAACCGACCCGGAAAGGUUAAUAUCUCCUUUACCCUUAAUGAAAUCGUUUGUUGAAGUCAUAUUUGCAGGGCAGGUUACGUAAAAAAACCUUUGAUAGGAAGUGGUCAAAAAAAAGGUUGCAAAAAUAAUAAGAUAGAU